UCCUGCAUGGUCCACUGGUUAGGACUCUGUGCUCCCAAUUCAGGGGGCACAGGUUCGAUCCCUGGUUGGGGAA
rnacentral:tRNA from 1 species